UUUGAGUCCUACCUAUCGCGG
rnacentral:siRNA from 1 species